rnacentral:rRNA from 1 species
AUUGAACGCUGGCGGCAGGCCUAACACAUGCAAGUCGAGCGGAUGAAGGGAGCUUGCUCCUGGAUUCAGUGGCGGACGGGUGAGUAAUGCCUAGGAAUCUGCCUGGUAGUGGGGGAUAACGUCCGGAAACGGGCGCUAAUACCGCAUACGUCCUGAGGGAGAAAGUGGGGGAUCUUCGGACCUCACGCUAUCAGAUGAGCCUAGGUCGGAUUAGCUAGUUGGUGGGGUAAAGGCCUACCAAGGCGACGAUCCGUAACUGGUCUGAGAGGAUGAUCAGUCACACUGGAACUGAGACACGGUCCAGACUCCUACGGGAGGCAGCAGUGGGGAAUAUUGGACAAUGGGCGAAAGCCUGAUCCAGCCAUGCCGCGUGUGUGAAGAAGGCCUUCGGAUUGUAAAGCACUUUAAGUUGGGAGGAAGGGCAGUAAGUUAAUACCUUGCUGUUUUGACGUUACCAACAGAAUAAGCACCGGCUAACUUCGUG